GACGAACGCUGGCGGCGUGCCUAAUACAUGCAAGUUGAGCGCUGAAGGUUGGUACUUGUACCAACUGGAUGAGCAGCGGACGGGUGAGUAACGCGUGGGGAAUCUGCCUUUGAGCGGGGGACAACAUUUGGAAACGAAUGCUAAUACCGCAUAAAAACUUUAAACACAAGUUUUAAGUUUGAAAGAUGCAAUUGCAUCACUCAAAGAUGAUCCCGCGUUGUAUUAGCUAGUUGGUGAGGUAAAGGCUCACCAAGGCGAUGAUACAUAGCCGACCUGAGAGGGUGAUCGGCCACAUUGGGACUGAGACACGGCCCAAACUCCUACGGGAGGCAGCAGUAGGGAAUCUUCGGCAAUGGACGAAAGUCUGACCGAGCAACGCCGCGUGAGUGAAGAAGGUUUUCGGAUCGUAAAACUCUGUUGGAAGAGAAGAACGUUGGUGAGAGUGGAAAGCUCAUCAAGUGACGGUAACUACCCAGAAAGGGACGGCUAACUACGUG
rnacentral:rRNA from 1 species